rnacentral:rRNA from 1 species
GAUACCCGCUGAACUUAAGCAUAUCAAUAAGCGGAGGAAAAGAAACCAACAGGGAUUGCCUCAGUAACGGCGAGUGAAGCGGCAAGAGCUCAAAUUUGAAAGCUGGCUCCUUCGGGGUCCGCAUUGUAAUUUGCAGAGGAUGCUUCGGGUGCGGCCCCUAUCUAAGUGCCCUGGAACGGGCCGUCGGAGAGGGUGAGAAUCCCGUCUGGGAUAGGGUGUCCGCGUCCGUGUGAAGCUCCUUCGACGAGUCGAGUUGUUUGGGAAUGCAGCUCUAAAUGGGUGGUAAAUUUCAUCUAAAGCUAAAUACUGGCCGGAGACCGAUAGCGCACAAGUAGAGUGAUCGAAAGAUGAAAAGCACUUUGAAAAGAGAGUUAAAAAGCACGUGAAAUUGUUGAAAGGGAAGCGCUUGCGACCAGACUCGCCUUCAGGGUUCAGCCGGCACUCGUGCCGGUGUACUUCCCUGGAGGCGGGCCAGCGUCGGUUUGGGCGGCCGGUCAAAGGCUCCCGGAAUGUAGUGCCCUCCGGGGCACCUUAUAGCCGGGAGUGCAAUGCGGCCAGCCUGGACCGAGGAACGCGCUUCGGCACGGACGCUGGCAUAAUGGUCGCAAACGACC